CUCGCUUGCUCUUGUUUAUCUUGUUUGCUCCAUGGCCUUACUUGAUACACCAAACAAAACGCCACCAGAAAAGGAUAAAGAAAACCUAAAUCUCAGAGCUCAGCAGCCCUGUCCCUGAAUAGAGAAGAGGCAAGAAGUUUAUGAAUGAACAAUAGCCCAUGCGAUUGCUAGAUGCUAACAAAAUGGAAAGAGAAAUUGAAGAGCAUGACCAGGAAGAACUUUCGGGCUUUAUAUUUAUGUGCAAUGGAAGGACAAAACCGCAGUGCUACCAGUACCGCGUUUUUGGUCUUCCUGUUGGAAAAAUGGAGGUUGUUGAGAAAAUUAAGCCAGGCAUGAAGCUUUUUCUGUUUGAUUUUGAAUUGAAGCUUCUCUAUGGGAUAUACGAGGCAACCUCAGUUGGAACAAUGAACCUGGAGCAAACUGCUUUCAAUGGGAGGUUCCCUGCCCAGGUGGGGUUCAAGAUCUAUAAGGAUUGUUUACCUUUGCAUGAGAGUUCUUUUAGACAUGCCAUUGAACAUAACUACCAGAAGGGCUUCAAGUUCAAUCAAGAGCUCAACAAGCAGCAGGUGAGGAGUCUAUUGUCUUUAUUUCGUCCUUUGACGGUGUCAGCACUUGGUUCUCUGCAGCCAAUGCAACAUCAAGCUGUGGAAAAUCAAUCAAGGCUACCUUUUCUCAAGGAUUCAUGUGCACAGGUCUUAGAGUCUCAACGUGUUCAGCAGAUAGGUUUUCAGCGAUAUAAUUGUUACAGGCCACUACUGGAUAUGAGCCAUGUCCAUCCAGUGAUGAAACCUCAAGUCUCACUUGCUCCAGUGGAUCCAGAUGUAACUGGGAUGCAACUCGGUUAUGUUCAACCAGUUUCAGAGCCUCAGAAUAUUCUACAGAGUGCCCCCUUUCAGGAGCAGCAUUACUUUGGAUCCACUACAAACAUGGGCCAUUCCAAUCCAACUACCGUGACACAAGCUUUCCUGACAUCAAAUGGUCAAUUAUAUUUAGCAGAAGUUCAGCAGCCUUAUGUUGCUGGAAACCCUACCCAACCUGUGCCAGACCAGUAUAACAGAUAAGCAACAGCUUGGUGCAGGGAAUAAGCAUAAAUUACCAUCACAGGGAGAGGGGGAAAGUGUUCAGCAGAGGAGUGUUAUACGAUAUCCAGUACUAUAAUUCCCACCCAUAACCUGCAGCCCCUCAUGUAACACCAUAAGAGUUGUCAUAAAUGCGGACAGUGGGAUUACCUGAAGCUGCAAAUGGGACUCUUCCCCCUUGCUUACUUAUAUCCCUUUGCAGGGGCAGCUCCAACUCAUCACUGACUUACAAAGUGAGAUGAUGACACCUCGAGUGACUAUUCAAUUGCAAGCAAACGUUGGUGUCUUGGCUGAAAGGUAGCAAGUAGAUGCCAAUUUGCAUGUCUGCAUUUACUUCCACUCCACUUCCCCACCACAAGUCAUACUUCUAGUGGUUGACCUCUUGACCUUUUGUGCUCGUUGACUCCAUGACAUUUUUAAAGGAACAUCAAGUGAUCUCUUUGGGAUUGGCUCCCAAUGCCUCUAGCUUAAAAAUGUACUGCUACGUGCUUUCCACUACUAAAGGCUCCUGAUUUGCCAGACAGCUCUUGGAUUCCAAGUGCUGCACCAUGAACCCCCGAUGGGUUUUCUUGCUCUGUCUCUCUUUCACAGUAUCCAAGGGCUUUGCAUCUGAGG